rnacentral:lncRNA from 1 species
CUAUACGAACAAAAAAAUUUGGGCUCUUAAAUUUACCCAAAACAAAUUGGACCCGGUACAAUUGCUCCACUUGCACAUCCCAAACGCACUACAGACUAGUUAAGUCUGAAACAUUGCUUCCUCUCUAUGGCAAGAAGCCCCCGAUACAUCCACUACGUUCUUACAACAAUGUUUAAUAUGAUCAUUAAUCAUCUUCCAUGAGUCACUCUUCUGUUUUAGUUUCACCAAUACCUAAUAUUAAAAAGAAAAGGCAAAAACAAGAUCUACCAAUUCAAUGCGAUAGGGUAAAGUGACCAAAUAACCAUUGCCGUUGUCAC